CUCCUGGAAACGGGUGGUAAUGCCGGAUGCUCCGCCCCCUCGCAUGGGGGGUCGGGAAGGCUUUUGCGGAAUGGGAUGGGGUCGCGUCCUAUCAGCUUGUUGGCGGGGCGACGGCCCACCAAGGCUUCGACGGGUAGCCGGCCUGAGAGGGCGACCGGCCACAUUGGGACUGAGAUACGGCCCAGACUCCUACGGGAGGCAGCAGUGGGGAAUAUUGCACAAUGGGGGGAACCCUGAUGCAGCGACGCCGCGUGCGGGAUGGAGGCCUUCGGGUCGUGAACCGCUUUUGAUUGGGAGCAAGCGUGAGUGAGUGUACCUUUCGAAUAAGCACCGGCUAACUACGUGCCAGCAGCCGCGGUAAUACGUAGGGUGCAAGCGUUGUCCGGAAUCAUUGGGCGUAAAGGGCUCGUAGGCGGUUCGUCGCGUCCGGUGUGAAAGCCCAUCGCUUAACGGUGGGUCUGCGCCGGGUACGGGCGGGCUUGAGUGCGACAGGGGAGGCUGGAAUUCCCGGUGUAACGGUGGAAUGUGUAGAUAUCGGGAAGAACACC
rnacentral:rRNA from 1 species